AUUUCUCUGAGAUGUUUGUCGGCGGACGAGUCCCCUGAGCCGAUAUUUCAAACUUAAAGAAUGUAGCGUAAUGUAGUUGGUGAGCAUGCUCGGUUCGUCCGAGAAGCCUUAAAAUUGCAGCGUUGCGUUCACCUUGAACCAAGGGUUCAAGGGUUAUAGUCUGCGGCGGCAUCUCGGAGAUUCC
rnacentral:other from 1 species